UUAAGUUCAGCGGGUAGUCCUACCUGAUUUGAGGUCAAGUGGUCAAGUGUUGUCCACGCAAGCGGACGGCUGGAAGCUGGGUGAAUGGGGACCUCUCCAAGUGUAGAUAUGACUAUCACACUAGGCUGCAGAUCGCCAAGAUGAGCCCCUGCUAAUGCAUUUCAGAGGAGCCGGUCCCAGAGAGCGGGGCCAGCAGAACC
rnacentral:misc_RNA from 1 species